GUCGAUAAGUCUGCUGUGAAGUCAGGCUCAACCCUUGGAUGCCGGUGGAUACUGUCGGGCUAGAGUCCGGAAGAGGCGAGUGGAAUUCCUGGUGUAGCGGUGAAAUGCGCAGAUAUCAGGAAGAACACCAAUGGCGAAGGCAGCUCGCUAGGACGGUACUGACGCUGAGGCGCGAAAGCGUGGGGAGCAAACAGGAUUAGAUACCCUGGUAGUCCACGCCGUAAACGAUGGGCACUAGGUGUGGGGGGUGUCGACUCCCCCCGUGCCGCAGCUAACGCAUUAAGUGCCCCGCCUGAGGAGUACGGCGCAAGGCUAAAACUCAAAGGAAUUGACGGGGGCCCGACAAGCAGCGGAGCAUGUGGUUUAGUUCGACGCAAACGCGAAGAACCUUACCUGGGGCUUGACAUGUCCGUGACCGGCGUGGAAACCACGUCUUCCCUUUCGGGGGCUCGGUCCACCGGGUGGGUGCCAUGGGCUUGUCGUCAGCUCGGUGGUCGUGAAGGAUGUUGGGGGUUAA
rnacentral:rRNA from 1 species